UAGUGCAAAUGUUUCUCAGUUUCUGCCAAUAUUUGAAUGCCAGCAAUAGCAUUGUGUUAGAGCAGUUCAGAGAUUAAUAAUUUCCCUUUUCACACAGCACCUGACCUCUAAUAAACUUGUUCCAUCUAGUAACAGUGUAACAUUUCUGAGAGUUUCAAGGAGCAGUCCAAGGUGUGGUUUAGAGUGGCAGCAUAUUCCUGUUCUCACACAGGUAGUGUUGCAGAGGUUUUUGAGUAACUUUUCCCUGGAUUUAGAGAAGUCCCAAAGAGACCAGUGGCCUCUCAAAAUGGUGCUGCAUUUCUGCCUGUCACUUUCAGGGCUCUUUAUGACCACUUGUGCUGGGUGUCUAGCAAGAGCAGAGCUCCUAAAAGUGGGGAGAAGCAAGUCCAUGCUGACAGUAUUUUGCUGAUUGCCAUGGUAACUAGGGGCAUUACUGUGCCUCUGAAUGGUCGAGAUGUGCAUUGCCAUCCAGUGCUCCUCAGAGGAAUGCUCUUAUCGUAACCAUAAGAGGAAUUCUCUAGCACAUCCCAGCAUUGCACAAAUUGUCAUAGACAACAAAUAUGGGGUAGAAUUGCCCUCCCUGCCUAUUCCUUAGGAGCUUGUGCUUGUGCCCCUGGUGAAACAUUUCUAUCAUUUCCACCACUGCUGACUUGUUGCAGCUUCUACACCCCAUUACUUUGCUGUGCUCUUGCACUUAAGGGGUUGUACUGAGCACUGCAACUCAGUGCCUACCACAAUCUCUCUGUGACAUUGUAACUUUCUCUGAUUUAUGAUACUGAGGACAUUAUGAGGAAAAAAUCCCCCUUUUUAUUUUUGUGAGUAAAUUUAUGCUGUUUCCAUAAAUUUUUAAAUUAUUAUUAUUAUUAGCAGAGGAUGGAAAGGAGACAAAAAUAUUCUAACUUCUCCAUUAAACUAUACAAUGAAACAAGAAACUUUUCUGAUACAUUGAAUUAUGGACUGUUACUGUUUACACAUAGCUAUGUACCCUUAUUUCUAAACAUCCUCACGGACUCUAGAACAUCUAUAACAGAAUUUUUAAAAAUAGCUGAAUGAGGGGAAAGAAAAUGUCUGUAAUCUAUACAAAGCAAAUGAAGAUGUGUUGUGGGUUUUGCUGGAUAAAUUAGAUAAAACAUGAGAAAAUUAUCCAUUGCUCUGAAAGACACAUUUGAAGUAAAAAUGCCCUAUUAGGUUUUUAAUAAAUUCUGGGGUGUAUUGAGUAAUAGCUGGCCACCAUACACCAGGGUUUGGGCAGGAUAAAUCCUUCCAUAGUCAUGUCAAGUCACAUGAACCUUCUUCACAAGUUGUUUAAAUAAACGCUGGCCAAUUGACUGUAUCACACUGUCUGAAAUGACUAAGAAAACAUAACCUAGUGCAAGUGAAGGAAGGUAGUAGCUGGCAAAAUCUACUCGGGUUAGCUGCUGAAUUUGCAUCUAUCUACAAGCAUAAAAUGUUUGAACAUUAUGGGCAAUCAUUUUUAACUUAGUUUUUUCUGAACCAGAACCUAGAUUAAUUUAACAGAGAAACAGAAAGAUUUUUUACGAUGCAGUUCCAUUUUAGUUUGCAGUGAAAUUCAGUAUCUGUUGAAUUAUCAGUGACUGCAUGUUGGCACAAAAAAGAAUGAAAUAAAUUAUUCAUAACAAUUAGCAUAGAAGUGUAACAUUUCACAGGAGGGAUUAAACUGGAGUGACUCAUUCAAUCUAUCCUGCUGUUUACAGAGGUUUCAGUAACCUAGUGAGGGUGGAAAAAUUUUCCAUGAGACUCAGGCCUCAGGUCAGAUUUUUUAGAAGAAUUUGAAAGGAUGGUGAGAUUUUGACUGGAAGAUGGUUGUGAAAGAACUUUCUGGACAUAGAUCAAGCUGAAGAAUAAAGUUAAAAGAUAAUUCCUAUAACUAAGAGGCUAUAGAAGGAUGAAACUGCUAGGACAAAGAUAAUGUAGUCAUUGGAGAUGAGGAUAUGGAGAUGGAAACAAUCAUAAUUAGGAAGGAAACAAAGGGGUUAAUGAUUUUAAGAUUAAGAUUAUUUAAUUAAGGUGAGCAGAAACUGAUCUAACUGUUUGGAGCACUGUGAAUCAUGCUGAAGAAUGAGUUGUUGAGUUUCUUCUCUUUAGGCUUCUAAAGAUAAUCAUUGGCAGUGAGUUCUUAAUGUUUUCAUUAAUAAUCUGGGCAGCAAAAUAACACUUUGUUAAUGCAAUUUGCUGACAACAUAAAUUUGGUAAAUAAGAACAGUACAGAGAAAAGUCAGAACUGUGCAGACACAUAAAUACGCAAUUUUAAACAGAACAAAAAACGUAAACACAUCAGAUUCAAUAACAUAAGAAGCACAUAAGUAAGGCUUACACAUGCCUCUCCCAAGUUUACACUUUCUAACACAUCUCUGGGUCUUGGGCUAAAGCUCAGCCCACUCCCUUGGUUAGGGCUAGGAGAAAGACAAACUUUAGAAAUCUGGCAAACCAUGGUGUUUAAAAUAAUGUCUAGGCCAUUUAUACCUGUUUGGGAAUAAGGUUCAGUCCAAGACCAGGUCUUGGGCUAGAUUUUGGGCUUAGUGUUCAGAGAGGUUAGAACCUCUCUCACAAUCUGUUCUUAAUAUGAAGUACCAUUGCAUUGGGUUUGUGAGACAAGAUUUAGGUAGUGGGGAGGGUACAGGGAUGGCUUCUGUGAGAAGCUGCCAGAAGCUUCCCCCAUGUCCAGCAGAGUCAAUGUCAGCCAACUCCAGGAUGGAUUUGCCUCUGGCCAAGGCCAAGCCCAUCAGUGAUGGUGGGAAAUGAUAUAAGAAAUGGAAAACUGUUGUGUAACAGCAGCAGUGAAGAGAUGAGUGAAAUCAUGUAGAGAAACAGCUCUGCAGUACCAAGGUCAGUGAAGAAGGAAGGGAGGAAGUGCUCCAGGCACCA